AUACGAAGGGGGCUAGCGUUGUUCGGAAUUACUGGGCGUAAAGCGCACGUAGGCGGAUAUUUAAGUCAGGGGUGAAAUCCCAGAGCUCAACUCUGGAACUGCCUUUGAUACUGGGUAUCUUGAGUAUGGAAGAGGUAAGUGGAAUUCCGAGUGUAGAGGUUAAAUUCGUAUAUAUUCGGAGGAACACCAGUGGCGAAGGCGGCUUACUGGUCCAUUACUGACGCUGAGGUGCGAAAGCGUGGGGAGCAAACAGGAUUAGAAACCCCAGUAGUCC
rnacentral:rRNA from 1 species